rnacentral:rRNA from 1 species
UACGUAGGGACCAAGCGUUGUCCGGAUUUAUUGGGCGUAAAGAGCUCGUAGGCGGCUUGUCGCGUCGACUGUGAAAGCCCCCGGCUCAACUGGGGAGGGUCAUUCGAUACUGUUCGACUCGAAGGCAGGAGAGGGAAGUGGAAUUCCCGGUGUAGUGGUGAAAUGCGUAGAUAUCGGGAGGAACACCAGUGGCGAAGGCGACUUCCUGGCCUGUUCUUGACGCUGAGGCGCGAAAGCUAGGGGAGCAAACGGG